rnacentral:rRNA from 1 species
UACGUAGGUGGCAAGCGUUGUCCGGAUUUAUUGGGUUUAAAGGGUGCGUAGGCGGUCCCAUAAGUCAGUGGUGAAAUACGGCAGCUCAACUGUCGAGGUGCCAUUGAUACUGCGGGACUUGGGUACUGAUGAGGUAGGCGGAAUUGACGGUGUAGCGGUGAAAUGCUUAGAUAUCGUCAAGAACACCGAUAGCGAAGGCAGCUUACUAAACAGUAACUGACGCUGAGGCACGAAAGUGCGGGGAUCAAACAGG